AGUGAACGCUGGCGGUAGGCCUAACACAUGCAAGUCGAACGGCAGCACAGUAAGAGCUUGCUCUUACGGGUGGCGAGUGGCGGACGGGUGAGGAAUACAUCGGAAUCUACUUUUUCGUGGGGGAUAACGUAGGGAAACUUACGCUAAUACCGCAUACGACCUACGGGUGAAAGCAGGGGAUCUUCGGACCUUGCGCGAUUGAAUGAGCCGAUGUCGGAUUAGCUAGUUGGCGGGGGAAAGGCCCACCAAGGCGACGAUCCGUAGCUGGUCUGAGAGGAUGAUCAGCCACACUGGAACUGAGACACGGUCCAGACUCCUACGGGAGGCAGCAGUGGGGAAUAUUGGACAAUGGGCGCAACCCUGAUCCAGCCAUACCGCGUGGGUGAAGAAGGCCUUCGGGUUGUAAAGCCCUUUUGUUGGGAAAGAAAAGCAGCAGGUUAAUACCCCGCUGUUCUGACGGUACCCAAAGAAUAAGCACCGGCUAACUUCGUG
rnacentral:rRNA from 1 species